rnacentral:rRNA from 1 species
UGGGGAAUUUUGGACAAUGGGCGAAAGCCUGAUCCAGCAAUGCCGCGUGUGUGAAGAAGGCCUUCGGGUUGUAAAGCACUUUUGUCCGGAAAGAAAUCCUUGGCUCUAAUACAGUCGGGGGAUGACGGUACCGGAAGAAUAAGCACCGGCUAACUACGUGCCAGCAGCCGCGGUAAUACGUAGGGUGCAAGCGUUAAUCGGAAUUACUGGGCGUAAAGCGUGCGCAGGCGGUUUGCUAAGACCGAUGUGAAAUCCCCGGGCUCAACCUGGGAACUGCAUUGGUGACUGGCAGGCUAGAGUAUGGCAGAGGGGGGUAGAAUUCCACGUGUAGCAGUGAAAUGCGUAGAGAUGUGGAGGAAUACCGAUGGCGAAGGCAGCCCCCUGGGCCAAGUACUGACGCUCAUGCACGAAAGCGUGGGGAGCAAACAGGAUUAGAUACCCUGGUAGUCCACGCCCUAAAACGAUGUCAACUAGUUGUUGGGGAUUCAUUUCCUUAGUAACGUAGCUAACGCGUGAAGUUGACCGCCUGGGGAGUACGGUCGCAAGAUUAAAAACUUAAAGGAAUUGAC